UGGGGAAUUUUGGACAAUGGGGGCAACCCUGAUCCAGCCAUGCCGCGUGAGUGAAGAAGGCCUUCGGGUUGUAAAGCUCUUUCGGCGGGGAAGAAAUGGCAACGGCUAAUAUCCGUUGUUGAUGACGGUACCCGCAUAAGAAGCACCGGCUAACUACGUGCCAGCAGCCGCGGUAAUACGUAGGGUGCGAACGUUAAUCGGAAUUACUGGGCGUAAAGCGUGCGCAGGCGGUUUCGUAAGACAGACGUGAAAUCCCCGGGCUCAACCUGGGAACUGCGUUUGUGACUGCGAGGCUAGAGUACGGCAGAGGGGGGUAGAAUUCCACGUGUAGCAGUGAAAUGCGUAGAGAUGUGGAGGAAUACCGAUGGCGAAGGCAGCCCCCUGGGUUAGUACUGACGCUCAUGCGCGAAAGCGUGGGGAGCAAACA
rnacentral:rRNA from 1 species